UAUCGCCCCCCCUCACACAUUUUUACGCUACUACCGUAUUGGUCCGAAUAUAAGACGGCCUUUUUUCCCCUCGAAAUAGGUCUGAAAAAGUUGGGUUGUCUUAUAUUCGGGGUCUAGUAUUCAGAGCGCAGUUUCUCUUCUUCGCCUCUCCCUUUAAAUGUCAAUACACAUUCGCGGCCGCAGGUUGCGCCAGAAAUUGGUUCCGGGAAGAAGUAGUCCAGCGUCCUUAACCAGACCAGACAAGUGGCUCAAAAGUGGGUCAGGUCAAUCAACAACAGCGGAGGAGCUAUGAUGCCAAUUUUUAAAUAAUGGUCGUCAAUAAGGCAGAGUCAAGUAACAACUGCCAAGCUGCCAAGAAGUUUGGGGUCACGGAGUGUAACGUAAGAAGAUGGCGAGCACCAAAAUAACGUCUCAAAGACGUCAACAGUCCUACCGUGGUCCUCAAAGUGGCCAUUUCAGUGAGGUUGACCGGAGAGUUUUUGAAUACGUCAGAGAAAACGCGCUUUGGGCGGAGCCGGUGGAAGCGGAGCAGCUGGGGAGCGAUGACAGCGAGAGCAAACACAGUGGGGCAGAGGACGUGUGUGAGCGAUAGAGAGAGAUCGGAGGAGAAGUUUGGCGAAUUUUAGUUAAGUUUAGUUAAAUAUGUGGCCUGUAUUUUUCUAUGUUAUUUAAAAAUGUUCCCAAUGUUGCUUGAUUAUUGCUUGUUAUUAAUUUUGAAUCAUACUGUACAUAUUUUGCCUUGAAAGUGCCGUGGCCUUUACUGGCAUUAUUAUUAUAUUAUGUUUGUGUUGAAAAACGGGGGGUCGUCUUAUAAUCAGGGUCAUCUUAUAUUCGGACCAAUACGGUAUUUAUUCAGGAAGCAACUUCCAUUGACUUCAGAUACAAGAGAUUGAGGAGAAUGUAUAGGGGGCAGGCCUCUUACAGAAUGACUCCUACAGGCCAGGCGGAGCUACCAACAUCUGGGAUCAAACCCAGUAUCUUUCGCUGGGGAAUUUACCAUAGCUACUACACUAAAAUGUCCUGCUGCAUUCGCAGGCAGGCAUGCAAACAAACAAGUGCGUACACCACAUACAAAAGCACACACAGAAGCAUGCAGUCUUCAUGGUUUCAAUUUGUAGCUCAGUUUCACUCUGAAACUGACAGUUUACUCGCACACCCAACCUAACCUCUGAUCUAAAUGUUUCAUACGGCCUGUUCACGGUUUCCUGUUUUUAAAAGGGAAACAGAUGGGCUAUUUCCAAAUGACCCUCUGUCAGCUGCGGGUUUGGUAAUAUAUGUUGGAGCAUGUAAUGAAACCUAAAAUUGUUCUACUGAAUAGGUGAUGACAUGAUAAAUACAGUUAUUAUAUAUGCAGUAUUUUAACACAUAGUAUAGUAUAUAGCUUUGUUAAGUGUAGUAUAUGGCUUACUUGACUGAUCAUUUUAACACUGAUAGCAUAAAAGCCACUUUCAAAAAUAUAUUUUGUUGUAUAGCCUUUUCCCAUUCCCAGCAUAUGACAUUCAGAACGCAAGGCCAGUAAAUAAAUAGAUUUUGUCUGGAUAAA